rnacentral:tRNA from 1 species
GCGGAUGUGGCGAAAUUGGUAUACGCGUUAGAUUUAGAAUCUAAUGGAAUAUCCGUGAGAGUUCGAACCUCUCCUUCCGUA